rnacentral:rRNA from 1 species
GAUGAACGCUGGCGGCGUGCCUAAUACAUGCAAGUCGAGCGAACAGACGAGGCGCUUGCUCCUUUGACGUUAGCGGCGGACGGGUGAGUAACACGUAGGUAACCUACCUAUAAGACUGGGAUAACUUCGGGAAACCGGAGCUAAUACCGGAUAAUAUUUCGAACCGCAUGGUUCUAUAGUGAAAGAUGGCUUUGCUAUCACUUAUAGAUGGACCUGCGCCGUAUUAGCUAGUUGGUAAGGUAACGGCUUACCAAGGCAACGAUACGUAGCCGACCUGAGAGGGUGAUCGGCCACACUGGAACUGAGACACGGUCCAGACUCCUACGGGAGGCAGCAGUAGGGAAUCUUCCGCAAUGGGCGAAAGCCUGACGGAGCAACGCCGCGUGAGUGAUGAAGGUCUUCGGAUCGUAAAACUCUGUUAUUAGGGAAGAACAAACGUGUAAGUAACUGUGCACGUCUUGACGGUACCUAAUCAGAAAGCCACGGCUAACUACGUG